UCUUUCAGCAGGGACGAAGCGCAAGUGACGGUACCUGCAGAAGAAGCACCGGCUAACUACGUGCCAGCAGCCGCGGUAAUACGUAGGGUGCGAGCGUUGUCCGGAAUUAUUGGGCGUAAAGAGCUCGUAGGCGGUUUGUUGCGUCGGCUGUGAAAACUUCACGCUUAACGUGGAGCCUGCAGUCGAUACGGGCAGACUUGAGUUCGGCAGGGGAGACUGGAAUUCCUGGUGUAGCGGUGAAAUGCGCAGAUAUCAGGAGGAACACCGGUGGCGAAGGCGGGUCUCUGGGCCGAUACUGACGCUGAGGAGCGAAAGCGUGGGGAGCGAACAGGAUUAGAUACCCUGGUAGUCCACGCCGUAAACGGUGGGUGCUAGGUGUGGGGGACUUCCACGUCCUCCGUGCCGCAGCUAACGCAUUAAGCACCCCGCCUGGGGAGUACGGCCGCAAGGCUAAAACUCAAAGGAAUUGACGGGGGCCCGCACAAGCGGCGGAGCAUGUGGAUUAAUUCGAUGCAACGCGAAGAACCUUACCUGGGCUUGACAUGCACCGGAAACCUGCAGAGAUGUAGGCCUCUUCGGACUGGUGUACAGGUGGUGCAUGGCUGUCGUCAGCUCGUGUC
rnacentral:rRNA from 1 species